rnacentral:rRNA from 1 species
CAAUAGCGUAUAUUAAAGUUGUUGCAGUUAAAAAGCUCGUAGUUGGAUUUCUGGUAGGAGCGACCGUGCCGAACUUGAUUGUUCGAGUAUUGUGUUGUCUUCAGCCAUCCUCGUGGAGAACUUUUCUAACAUUAACUUGUUGGGAUUGGGACCCGCGUCGUUUACUGUGAAAAAAUUAGAGUGUUUAAAGCAGGCAUUAGCUUGAAUACAUUAGCAUGGAAUAAUAAGAUAGGACUUUGGUACUAUUUUGUUGGUUUGCAUACCAAUUAAUGAUCAACAGGAACAGUUUGAGGAUAUUCGUAUGAACAUGUCAGAGGUGAAAUUCUUGGAUUUUGAUCAGACGAACUACUGCGAAAGCAUUUAUCAAGGAUGUUUUCAUUAA